GCACAGAAGCGUUGGAAUUUGCUCAAUCCAAGUUGACCCCAUUUGGGAAAGUCCAGAAAUAUGUUGAAAAGCUUGAAGAUUUUAUGGCUCUGCUUGCUUAUGAAGAACCAGAAAAAUCUCCAAUGUUUCAUCUGCUUAGCUUGGACUAUCGGCAGCAAGUUGUAGAUAGUUUGAACCGAGCUAUUCUUGCGCAUGCAAACCGCCCAAGCUAUGCAGCAAUUGAGAGGCUGAUACAACAGACAACAGUGGUCAGGCAAUGCUUAAGUCAAGAUCACAACAAGGAUGGCCUUCCACCAUUCUCUUUGAAGGAUUUUCUCAAAAGCUAGAUAUGAUGUGUUUCCAAUACUUUGGUAGGGGUAGCCAAGGUUACUUCACAACUCAUUGCCACCAUAUGGUUUUGGUGUAAGGUUUUCACAUGGGUAGAUGAUGGUCAUCGAUGCCUCCACAUCUGUUAAAAGUUGCCAAGUAGGCUGUCUCAUGUGUCUGGGUUUUGCAUUUGUUGAGGUACGCCUCUUUUCAUGGUUGGCCACAAUGCUAGCGCAUUUUGGUUCCACCCUGCAAAGUUUGGAUUUAUUUUAGCUGGUGGUUUUGAUGAUCCUAUGGCUUUUAUUUGCUUGCUAGUAUUAAGACCUUAGGAAUUAAGAUUAUCUGUAGCCUAACAUCAUAUUUUUAUUUGGCAUAAAUAGGAGUCUUGUUUAGUGAAGCAAGGUCAAGAUUCAAAGACCAUUUCAUAUCAUUUCUCAUAUGGGAAAAACUUAGGAAAAUUGUUUAUGAUAUCUCUCACGUGGCAAAAGCUGCCAGCAGUUGUGUGGUUGUAAAUAUAUUCAUAUUUGAGUAACCUGUUAUUAUCUGAAAACUGCUUCUACAUUUUUUGAGUGAUUAUAUAUUUACAUUGC
rnacentral:misc_RNA from 1 species